GCGAGAGUGGCGGAAUUGGCAGACGCGCUGGGCUUAGGACCCAGUUCCGUUUCGGCGGAUUGGGGGUUCAAAUCCCCCCUCUCGCA
rnacentral:tRNA from 1 species